AAGACCUUGCGCUUUUGGAGCGGCCGAUGCCUGAUUAGCUUGUUGGUAAGGUAAAAGCUUACCAAGGCUUCGAUCAGUAGCUGGUCUGAGAGGACGACCAGCCACACUGGGACUGAGACACGGCCCAGACUCCUACGGGAGGCAGCAGUGGGGAAUUUUGGACAAUGGGGGCAACCCUGAUCCAGCCAUGCCGCGUGAGUGAAGAAGGCCUUCGGGUUGUAAAGCUCUUUCAGCCGGAACGAAACGGUUGCGGUUAAUACCCGUAACUAAUGACGGUACCGGAAGAAGAAGCACCGGCUAACUACGUGCCAGCAGCCGCGGUAAUACGUAGGGUGCGAGCGUUAAUCGGAAUUACUGGGCGUAAAGCGUGCGCAGGUGGUUUUGUAAGUCAGAUGUGAAAGCCCCGGGCUCAACCUGGGAACU
rnacentral:rRNA from 1 species